GCAUAACAAUAAUUAAAUAAACGGUAAUCAUCAGUUGUAAGUACUUGUAAAUGGCUGACCCAUUAGUAUUGAAAAAAAUAAUAAAAAUGAACGCGUAAUUAAAAAUUAAUCUUGAUUCCAUUGUUGCUACAAUCGACUGAGGAAGUUAUUAAAAGAAGACAAGAAUCAUAAAUUGAAAAAAUUUGUAUUGUAUAAUGAAUAAUUGAGAUCUUGAACAUGUAGAUAAAUAUAAUGUUCAGGUGAAUGAAGUGUCCUCCGUUAUCGUAAGUGCAAAGUGAGGUAUCCCCUGAGAGUUCCGCUUGGUUCGUGACCACCCACGUACUGGCUCCGGAGCUGGAGACGGAGGACCGGAGUGAAUUCAGAAUUACGGAGGACUAGAUCGUAGACGGAGACGUUUAGCUUGGCGAUUCCCUUUCUGUUGUGUGUAUAUGUUGAAUAAUACCUCUGGUACCCCUGGGCGCCCUCGCCUACCCCACAUUCUCAUCCUCAAUCCUCAUUCUCUUCAGUACAUCCA